ensembl:lncRNA
GUGUCACUCAUGGGACUCAGGGUCAUGGCACGUGUGUUCCACCUGGGCCACCUCUUACCUCCUGUGGCACAUUGUCACCUCUUCUGUUGACACUUCUGAGUGUGUUUCCUCAGUUCUGAGGGAGCAACAGCCCCUCUGCCAAUGCUCUCAUUUUAAUAUUUUUGCAUAUUAAAAUUUUAUUUGAAAGGCAGACACAUACACAGAGUAAGAGAGAGAGAGAAAGAGAUCUCCCAUCUCCUGGUUCAGUUUCUUUAUUUUUAUUUUAUUUUAUUUUAUUUUAUUUUAUUUUAUUUUUAACAGGCAGAGUGGACAGUGAGAGAGACAGAGAGAAAGGUCUUCCUUUGCCAUUGGUUCACCCCACAAUGGCCACUGCAGCUGGCACGCUGUGGCCGGUGCACUGCACUGAUCGGAAGCCAGGAGCCAGGUGCUUCUCCUGGUCUCCAUGGGGUGCAGGGCCCAAGCACUUGGGCCAUCCUCCACUGCACUCCCAGGCCACAGCAGAGAGCUGGACAGGAAGAGGAGCAACCGGGACAGAAUCCGGUGCCCCGACCGGGACUAGAACCUGGUGUGCCGGCACCGCAGGCAGAGGAUUAGCCUAGUGAGCUGCAGCGCAGCCCCUGGCUCACUUUCCAAAUGCCUGCACCAACCAGGGCUGGGCCAUGCCAAAGUCAGGAGUCAGAAACUCAAUCUGGGUCCCACGGGGUAGCGGGGACCCGACUACUUUAGGUGUCACGUGUAGCACUCCUGGGAGCCCUUAGUUAGGGAGCUGCAGUUGGAAGCAGCGCUGGGCCUGGAACCCAGUCUCUGAUGGGGACUGCAAGUAUUCUCCAACUGGUGUCCCAACCACGGCCCAGACACCCACCCCUGCCCCUUGCUCUUCAAGGCCUGGCCUCCCCCCAGGAGCUGUGUGUCCAGGGUUUGUGUGGUGGAACGUGUCUGGGACUUCACUACCUGCUGCUGGACUUCUGGUACUUCAAGAAUGAACUUGGCACCCUUAGGAAGGAAGCCCUGGAAGACUGCUCCUCACCAGUCCCUCUGGCCUGCCUACUGCCUCUGACAUCUGCAGUGAGAAUGCAUCCAGUCUCAAGGUGAGAUUAUGUGCUGUGAUGUAGCUUUUAUAAACAUUUGAUUUCUAUUUGGUGCAUGUGAAUUUAAGACCUGAGACAGUUAGACUUAAGGUGACCAUCCUUUUAGGGGUGGGAUAAUAAGUAAAAACCCCAUAGUUCCUUCUCCAUUUGGCUGCCUCUAAGGAAAACAGCCCCUAAAACUGAUGACAUAGGACUUGUUCUGUUUUGUGUAAGAGCAGGCAAGGAGGUUGGAUGGAGUCAGACUUGGGUUAAUCUACAUACUCAGGUCCACAGCCAGGGGCUUGGGUUCUUUCCACCUUUCUGCUCUUCUAGCCUCGAGGUGUUGGCCUUUUCUUGUUACUUCUUUGUGGGUUGCGUGUUGACUGAGAGAGCUUGAGAUCACCUCCAGGGACUGCAAUAACUAGGAGAAGAAGAUAAACUGACUUACUAGAAUAUUCUACUUAAGGUCAGGAACCUUUGCCAGAAGACCUUGGAAGAUCUGACAUCUAGUUUCACUGUCCAGCUCCAGUUAACUGGCAGGAGGCCCAGGCUUUCCUGGCUGCCAUGGAUGAUCCUAGGGCUGUGGGGAGAGUGAUCCCCUUGAAGGGGUGAUGUGGCUCUUCUAAAAUAUGACAGCAAGUGCUGUGACAAGCUUUCCAUUAGAAGGUGGGGUUUAUAUGCUCUGCCUGUGAGUCAGGGCAGGUGUGUGACUGCUUGGACCACUUGAAUGCAGAGGAAGUGAUGCAGUGUGACUUCGGAGGCAAGAAGAUCCAAAGCCAUACUGUCGCUCCCCCUCUUCAUGGAGGAAUGACACUAAACCCUGCCUAGGCUUCAUAUCCGAGUCACGGCACCAUUAUGUCGCUCCCCCUCUUCAUGGAGGAACGACACUAAACCCUGCCUAGGCUUCACAUCCAAGUCACGGCACCAUUAUGUCGCUCCCCGUCUUCGUGGAGGAACAACACAGGACCCUGCGCUGUUCUUUCAUCUGCUCGGCCCUCCCCGGGUUUGCUGCUGGUUCUUCCCGGGUUGGCUGCUGUCCCUUCCACCUCCGUGGAAGGGCGGUUCCCCCUGCCACUUUCCCCACUUCCGCGGGGGAGCGGCACACCGCCGGCCGGCUCUCUCGGGGGCUGCACAGGUGUUCCCUCAGAUGUUCCUCUUAGAUGUUCCUGGUGCAUGCCGUCUCUCUCCUCCUUUAUAGUCCUCUUCCACCAAUCCCAACUCUGCUACCCACACGCCGAGUACGCUGCUCUCCUCCAAUCAGGAGCAGGUCCUGCUGUUUAUUGGUUGAACUGGAGGCAGCUGUGUAGAAGCUGUUUCCCUUCUCAGCGCCAUAUUGUGGGAAAGCAGAUGCAUAGAAUAAGUCUUAAUUCCAGUAACUUAGUCUAGUCCGAGUUGCUCCCAGUUGCUCCCCACACAUACAGCUUGCACCUUGCCCACCAGGACACUUGCUCCUGGGUACUUCAGCAGCCUUAUGUGAAAUUCAACUUCCCCAGGGCCACCAUGCAGGGAGAAAGUCAAAGUCAUAUGGAGGGACAUGUGCAAGAGCUCUGGUUAAUAAUUCCAGAUGAGGGGCCGGCACUGUGACGCAGCAGGUUAAAGCCCCAGCCUGCAGGGCCGGCAUCCCAUAUGGGCACCGUUCGAGUCCCAGCUGCUCCUCUUCCAAUCCAGCUCUCUGCUAAUGUCCUGGGAAAGCACUGAAAGAUGGCCCAAGUGCUUGGGCCCUCGCACUCAUGUGGGACCAGGAAGAAGCUCCUGGCUCCUGGCUUUGGAUCAGCUCAUCUCUGGCUGUUGCAGUCAUUUGGGGAGUGAACCAGUGGAAUGGAAUGGAAGACCUCUCUCUCUGGCUCUACUUAUAUCUGUAACUCUGUCUUUCAAAUAAAUAAAAUAAUUCUUUAAAAAAAUUAAUUCCC